ensembl:snRNA U6 U6 spliceosomal RNA
GUGCUGGCUUUGGCAACACAUAUACUAAAACUGCAACGACACAGAGAAGAUUAAGAGUAGCACGGCACCUGCACAAGGAUAACACAUAGAUUCAUGAAGCAUUCCAUGUUAAA